UCCCGCCCCGCCGGCCGGGCAGGCAGCGGGGUGGGGCCUGCCCGGGCUGUGGCCCUGCCCCCAGAGGCGGGGAGAGCCACGAUGCCCGCCCUCUGGAGCGACCCGCGAGGAGGCGGUGGCGGGAACUCGAGGGCUGCGGGCAGCCGUGAGAAAGCUUUCGGGGAAGAAGGCGGGAACUUCCUUUACUUACCUGGCCUCUGAGGUGACUGUUCCUACCAAGCGUCUCCAGAAGCGGGCAGCGUGGUGUGGGCAGCCACCCCUGCCCUCCAUUUCAGCUUCCUAAUCUGGACCCUCGGUUUUCAUCCGAGUUUUCUCGCGACAGGAAAGAGCUUCCACCCUCAGGCUGCGCAUGGAGCCCUGGGCCAAAUGGGGGCAGUCUGGUACAAUACUGCCUGCUAACAACUGCAAUACAGAAAAUAGCGGUUGUGCUGCAAAGGUCUCCUUGGGCAAAGAUGAGACCUGUGGAAUAAAUAACAGCAACCUGCAAAACCACAACCUAUCCAGACUGAUCUCUUGGUUAAAUCAAGCAUCCAUAUACAGUCCUAUCAUGUAGACUGUAUGGUAGUAUUGGCCCACAAACUCCUUUAUUUGAACUCUCCUGUUCCUUUGAGGAAAUUCACCCUCAAUGAUUGGUAUUUCCUGGAAACCUGUGACCACAGAAUGCUUCUUGAUACAGCUGGAUCCAACAUGCAACUGGGAAAGAUAGCUACUGUUUCUCUACAGUCUUGCCAAAAGUGCUCAAGAAAAAACAAGUUAACAGUCAACAGAGAUACCCAGUUGUGCAUAUGACAAUACCAUCUCUAUCCAUGUAGCUGGGAUGUCUGAAAAAGAAAUGAGAAUAAAGAGGAAGGGGAAGCUUACUACUUGAACCUCAGAAGCUCUGAAUAUUUGUUAGUUUUAUCCUGAUGAUCAUCUCUGCUGUCAUUGGCUGUAUCUGCAAAAAAGCUGAUUAUCUCCAUGACCUGAAUAACCACAAUCCUGAAACGGACUUUUUCCAUGCAGUAGGGAUACUUUAAGAGUCUUUGCUGGUACAGAGAAGAACAUAGAGGAAACAGGUGUAGGAAACAGUGACAAGGUAUACACAUCUAUCUCAUUUCAGUGUCCCAUGAAAAACGGCAGCUGUAUUAUUGCCCUUAGCCCUGGUGAUGGUAAUGCUGUAGUAGAAUUGCUAGUGUCAUCAAAAUAGAUGGAAUAAUGCUGAAAUUUAUAAGGCUAUGGAAAAGCGAUGUCUUCUGGUCUUACAGUACCAGCAGUUCCUCCAGUCCUUAGUACCUGCAAAGCUGAACUGGUAAGAAAAGAGCUGUUAUUUGUAAUACAUAUCAUAACAGAAAGAGUGGUGAAUUACGAGUUUAGGGAACAGAAGACUCAUCUCCAUCCUAUUCUAGAUUGUAGGCUUAACUGAGCUCCAGUUUAUAUUUCACCUGUUUGUUUCCAACAAUGUUCUAGGUAUUUCUCAAAUUUUCCUCUGUCUUGUAACAGUCUUCCUAACCUUUCAGACAUACAAGCCCUUCUUCAACUCAAAUGCUUCAAAAUAGAAGCAUUAAACUUCAAAACUAAAUACAAAUUUAGGGUUUAGUGUCUAGGUAAAAAUAUUUGAUACAUCUGGAUUAGAGGGCAAUUUUGCUGGUAAAGGAAGUGGGGAGGUGUCAUGAAAAAGGUGGCAUUAUAGGUAUUUUACAGAAAAAGCUAGAGACGUGUACCUUAUAGACUCUGGAACUCACAGAGGUUAAUUGUGGGGAGGAGGGCAGAUUAAGCUCUGGCAUAAACCAAAUUACCUGUACUAAGCACUGUAUUGGUGUCUAGCUCAGAUACUGGUUUUACUUCCUAGACUCAUGUUUGGAAGGUAUAUGGUAGUUUCUUUUGAGGAUCAGGUGUGAGAUCAAGUAUAAGGAGGCUGAAGUUGGUUUCAAGGAAAUCCGGUAAGUCUGUUUUCAUGAGAUUUGUUAUUACUGGCCAACUAUAAAGCAGAAUUAGCAAAGUAACUGGCUAAAAACCAAUGAGCCAGUUACUGAGGACAGUAACUGCUGAGAAGCACAGUCUGCACGAGAUGAGAACGAGCUGCCGAGCAAGUACCUUGACAUGAAACAUGUAGCUUAAGUGCCUGAGUUACUCAGUAAGCCAAAGGAAGAACAGAACAUGCUUCCUGUAUGAAAGUGGCAGGGAUUUGUGGCUCCAGGUCAUAUGACCUUAAUUUGUACCCUGUGCUGCAACUUUUAAAUAAAAUUUAACUCAAUUUCAAGGUAAAAAUAUAUAUUAUGGGAUGGUCCAAGCAAUUUCUUCUGCUUCCAAUUUCUAUGACUUACUGUUCCAACAGAAACAAAUUUUAUGCACUCCCUCCAAGUUGUCAAUCUCUCUCUUAUACUGGGUGGCCCAAAACUUGGCACAGAAUUCCAGAUAUGGCCUCGCAAGUGCCAAGUAGAGGGGAGUAAUCAUUCCUCUUGAUCUGCUGUCUGUAAAUGUCUUGCUAAUGCAGCCCAGUCUGUUAAGCUUUCUGUUAGCUUUCUGCUAGCCUUCAUCGCUGCAAGGGCCCUUUGCCAAUUCAUGCUUGACUUGUCCAUAGGACACCCAAACCCUUUUUGCACAGCUGCUACUUAAGUUUUCAGUCUCCAUCCUGUACUGAUUUAUGCAGUUACUCCGUCUCAGGUGCAGGAUUGUGCAUUUGGCUUUGCUGAAUUUUAUGAUGCGCCUGUUAGCCCAUUCCUCCAGCCUGUUGAGGUCCUGCCUUGCAUUUCAAGUUGGACCAUUACUCUGCUUUUAGUUUGUCCUUAAAGAUCAGCCAGCUCUCCUGGACUCCUUUGCAAUUCAGGACGGCCUCCCAAGAUAUCUUGCCUACUAGAAGGAGCCAAGUCUGCUCCCCUAAAGUCUGAGCCUGUAGUCUGCUCCAUCUCUUUCUCACUUCCAUAACAUGAAGGCCUGUUUGUGAAACACGUCCUGUUUGCCUUGUACCCAGAUAUACCACAGAACUGCUUGAUUCAAAGUAAGAAAUAUUUUGUAAUGCCUGUUUGCUUUCCUUAGUUGCAAGAAGACCAAGAACUGAAGAUAGCAGCGAUUGUAGCCAACAACUCAGCAUCAGAAUCAUAGUAUCAUAUAUCUAAUAAAGCUUGACUAAUGUUUGA